rnacentral:rRNA from 1 species
AGAGCGAACGCUGGCGGCAGGCUUAACACAUGCAAGUCGAACGGGCAUAGCAAUAUGUCAGUGGCAGACGGGUGAGUAACGCGUGGGAACAUACCUCUUGGUUCGGAACAACACAGGGAAACUUGUGCUAAUACCGGAUAAGCCCUUACGGGGAAAGAUUUAUCGCCGAGAGAUUGGCCCGCGUCUGAUUAGCUAGUUGGUGUGGUAAAGGCGCACCAAGGCGACGAUCAGUAGCUGGUCUGAGAGGAUGAUCAGCCACAUUGGGACUGAGACACGGCCCAAACUCCUACGGGAGCAGCAGUGGGGAAUAUGGACAAUGGGCGCAAGCCUGAUCCAGCCAUGCCGCGUGAGUGAUGAAGGCCGUUAGGGUUGGUAAAAGCUCGUUUUGUACGGAAGAUAAUGAACGGUACCGUAAAGAAUAAACGCCCCGGACUUAACCUUCGGUGCCCGAAGCAGACCCGUA